ensembl:lncRNA
NNNNNNNNNNNNNNNNNNNNNNNNNNNNNNNNNNNNNNNNNNNNNNNNNNNNNNNNNNNNNNNNNNCUCUGGCUGCAGCCAGCACCCCCCACCCCGGGCCGCAGCGGCCCCCACACAAGGCUGCAAAGACUGAGGCGCUGGGUCCCUACACAGCUCCCUUCCUGGCCCGGGCAGCUGCCGCUCCGGGCACCACGCAUGCCGACGUCUUCCUAAGCAAGCUCACCCGGCAAAUCGGUGUUUCCCUCCCGGUGCCCUGGUAAAGCCCACGCUGCCUGCCCCAAGGCGCUCAGCUCAGCCCCCACGCGGCCCCGGGCCAGAGCCUGCACAAGCCCGCUGGGGCACGGAGCCCUGCCCGUGGACAGCCCAGAUGGCGAGGGUUAAAGCCGGGAAGCCAGGGCCCAGGCACGGCUCUGUGGAUCAGAACCCGCUCCGGCACAGCCUGGCGAGAUUACAGCGGGCCCAGGACACGGCCCUCCACCGAGGGAGAACGUUCCGGACAACUCACCCUGGACCAGUCCCGUCGGGGACCAGGGGGCGAGCGGAGGCACAUGUGGCCCCCAGGACAGGAGCCGGGGGUGAGACAGCGGCUCUGACCCCGCCUGCUCCUCCCACCCCAGGGCCCUCACCAACACAGCAAGGCGCGGCACAGCGCCCCCGCCUGGCGGGUGAGGGGAAGACGGGGCAGGGGCUGGGAUCAGCAUGUUGGAGGCCACCCUCGCUCAGCAGCUCGGUGAGCCGGGGCGUGUCCCCCACCCCCGCCAGUGUAAACACGCCUGUUUGUUUUGGAAAUGUGGGGGCCCAGGGCGUGGGGAGCGAAAGGCGACACCAUCACGCCUCCCCCAUCUGUAAACACACUCAAGGCAGCUGCCCAAGGUCACUGCAGAGCCGGACCCUGGGUUCCACAGAAACCAGUCUAGGACGGUUCCCUCCCCCAGGCCCAGCACGGGCCUGGCACGGCCCAGCUGUCCCGUGGGGGGAAGGGCGGCAGAAGCAGGGUCUCUGGGCCCCGCGAGGACGGGGGCACCCGCGGGCAGUCAGCCCGGGCCCUACUGCACAGCGCUUCGCCCAACAGCACCACAGCGGGGGCCCUGCCGGGGGUCCCCAGAGGCCAAGACGCCAACCCCACCCUCCCUCGGCCCCUGCACAGGGCACACAGACCCUCCCCUCCCAGAAGCCAGCACCCAGGCCUGGAGAGUGGGGGCAGGGCACGGGGUCCCCGGCACCGCACCUGGAAGCCGCCCAGGUCCCGACCCGCUGCCUCACCGCAGGCAGACACAGAGACCCGCAGAGGAGGGGACCGGCCCAGCAGCGGGGCCCCGCAGCCCCUGACCCCAGCAGAGCUGCCCUGGUGCCCCUCCCCGGUGGACCUCGGGCUGGGCAGCUGGUGCCGGAAGACAGGGUCGGGCUUGGCUUUGGCCACGCGCACAGGUGCACGGCCGACCCCCAGGGCCGCCUUGUUGCGGAUGGUGCCGUGGGAGGGGCCUCCUGCUGGGACGCGUGGCCAGAGGAGGGCACCCCUCCCGUCUCACGUGCUCCCCCUGGACGAUGCCGGCCGCCAGGCAGCCGCAGGCUGUACUGUGCUGACCGCAGCACCCACCCACUGCCCUCCCCCAGGCCUGAAGAGCGUUUGUAUGAGCAGCAGGGAAGCAGCGCCCCCCUCCCCCCCCCCCAGACCGCCCAGGCCAGGGAGCAGCCCCGCCCCUCCCAGGGCAGCCAGGAGCCCAGGUGUGCGGGCGCGGGCUCACCCGGCACUGCCGACCGCGGAGGCCCAGGCAGGCCAGCAGCCCGUGCUCCAGGUGUGCGCACGCUGGGAGCUCUCCACCCCGGGGCUGACGUGGGGGAGGGGAGGCGCACUCCAAGCUGAUUCAUGGACCCUGACACCUGCUGGGUUCACGCCACUCUCGUAA